UAGUGAUAAAGGCAAACUUACUGAAAGGUAAGGACGCAAAGCUGUGGGUCUAAGGGAACAAUGCAUUCCUAUGAUUGUCAGGCUGCCAAA
rnacentral:ncRNA from 1 species